rnacentral:lncRNA from 1 species
UGAUAAUCCCACCACCCUUUGCUGACUCUCUUUUCAGACUCAGCCUGCCUGCACCCACAUGAAAUAAACAGUCUUGUUGCUCACACAAAGCCUGUUUAGUGGUCUCUUCACACAGAUGCGUAUGACAUUUGGUGCUGAAGACCAGGGUCAGAGGGACUGCUUCAAGAGACCAGUUCCCUGUCCUCACCCUCACUCUGUGAAGAGAUCCACCUACAACCUCCGGUCCUCAGACCAACCAGCCCAAGGAACAUCUCACCAAUUUCAAAUCAGGUUGGACUCUCCGACUCACAUCGCCGCUGCUUCUAAAGCCUCUGGAGCCCAAACCCAGUGUUCCCUGGCUGACUCCUUCCCAGAUCUCCUCAGCUUAGCAGCUGAAGACUGACUCUGCCUGAUCACAUUGGAAGCCCCCUGGACCAUCACGGACGCCGAGCUUUAGAUGGAUUCUCGCUCUGUUGCCCAGGCUGGAGUCCAGUGGCGCCAUCUGCAAGCUCCGCCUCCUGGGUUCACGCCAUUCUCCUGCCUCAGCCUCCCCAGCAGCUGGGACUACAGGCGCCCGCCACCAUGCCCGGCUAAUUUUUGGUAUUUUUAGUAGAGACGGGGUUUCACCCUGUUAGCCAGGAUGGUCUCCAUCUCCUGACCUCGUGAUCCACCCGCCUCGGCCUCCCAAAGUGCUGGGAUUACAGGCGUGAGCCACUGCGCCCAGCCUAGGUAUUUCAAUAGAAGUGGAAUAAAGCCAAUUUAUUGUCUUUGAAAAUCAUGGCACUGUAUGUUUCCAUCCACAGAGUACAACAGAGCCCCUUUCCCCCUGUCUUCAUGAACGUUGGAUGGUAGCAGACCCCUCUACCUUUUAUGUCAGCUACUAGAAAGAAAUCAAACCUCGGUGUUGCUUCCUCCUGCAGUGUUUGAACUACCUCUGAUCCGGAAAAUUUUCAUGUGCUCAUUGGUCAUUUCUGCUCAUGCAAAUUGUCUUUUCAUGCCCUGUGCUUUUUUUCUACUAAGAUACUCAGUUUUCUCUUGUCAACCUAAUAUAAUCGAA